rnacentral:lncRNA from 1 species
CAUUACCCCUACCCAUGGUGUUACCUCAGCCCUACAGGUCUCCAUUACCCAUGGUGUUACCUCAGCCCUACAGGUCUCCAUUACCUCAGCCCUACAGGCCUCCAUUACCCCUACCCAUGGUGUUACCUCAGCCCUACAGGUCUCCAUUACCCAUGGUGUUACCUCAGCCCUACAGGUCUCCAUUACCUCAGCCCUACAGGUCUCCAUUACCUCAGCCCUACAGGCCUCCAUUACCCCUACCCAUGGUGUUACCUCAGCCCUACAGGUCUCCAUUACCUCAGCCCUACAGGUCUCCAUUACCCCUACCCAUGGUGUUACCUCAGCCCUACAGGUCUCCAUUACCCAUGGUGUUACCUCAGCCCUACAGGUCUCCAUUACCCCUACCCAUGGUGUUACCUCAGGGCUCCAUUACCCCUACCCAUGGUGUUACCUCAGGGCUCCAUUACCCCUACCCAUUGACAUUACCUGGUCAGACGAGGGCUUAUUGAGUUCUUUAGCCAGACAGUA